GAUGCUGCUGCUAAAGGGUUAAAUGCGCCGCUUGCAUCGGGGGCCGGCCGGCUGUUCGAUGCUGCUGCCGCAUUGC
rnacentral:tRNA from 1 species